GACAGAAAAUGCAAACAUUGUUCGGAAUUACUGGGCGUAAAGCGCGUGUAGGCGGCUUUGCAAGUCGGAUGUGAAAUCCCGCGGCUCAACCGUGGAAGUGCACCCGAAACUGCAUCGCUAGAGUAUCGGAGAGGAAAGUGGAAUGCUUGGUGUAGAGGUGAAAUUCGUAGAUAUCAAGCGGAGCACCGGUGGCGAAGGCGGCUUUCUGGACGAUUACUGACGCUGAGACGCGAAAGCGUGGAUAGCAAACAGG
rnacentral:rRNA from 1 species